rnacentral:rRNA from 1 species
GAUCAUGGCUCAGGAUGAACGCUAGCGGCAGGCUUAACACAUGCAAGUCAAGGGGCAGCGGGAUGUAGCAAUACAUUGCCGGCGACCGGCGGAUGGGUGCGUAACGCGUAUGCAACCUACCUUAUACAGGGGAAUAACCUUUCGAAAGGGAGACUAACACCCCAUAGUAUUGAUUUAAGGCAUCUUAGAUUAAUUAAAUAUUUAUAGGUAUAAGAUGGGCAUGCGUAUGAUUAGCUAGUUGGUAAGGUAACGGCUUACCAAGGCGACGAUCAUUAGGGGUUCUGAGAGGAAGGUCCCCCACACUGGUACUGAGACACGGACCAGACUCCUACGGGAGGCAGCAGUGAGGAAUAUUGGUCAAUGGGCGCAAGCCUGAACCAGCCAUGCCGCGUGCAGGAAAGACGGCCUUAUGGGUUGUAAACUGCUUUUACAUAAGACUAACCGUAUAUUUGCGAAUAUACCUGAAUGUAUUAUGAGAAUAAGGAUCGGCUAACUCCGUGCCAGCCGCUGC